UUUGUAGACAUCGGUCCGCUACCUCUUACCCAUGUCUUUUGAGUACCUUCGUUUCCUCGGCGGGUCCGCCCGCCGAUUGGACAACAUUCAAACCCUUUGCAGUUGCAAUCAGCGUCUGAAAAAACAUAAUAGUUACAACUUUCAACAACGGAUCUCUUGGUUCUGGCAUCGAUGAAGAACGCAGCGAAAUGCGAUAAGUAGUGUGAAUUGCAGAAUUCAGUGAAUCAUCGAAUCUUUGAACGCACAUUGCGCCCCUUGGUAUUCCAUGGGGCAUGCCUGUUCGAGCGUCAUUUGUACCUUCAAGCUCUGCUUGGUGUUGGGUGUUUGUCUCGCCUCUGCGUGUAGACUCGCCUUAAAACAAUUGGCAGCCGGCGUAUUGAUUUCGGAGCGCAGUACAUCUCGCGCUUUGCACUCAUAACGACGACGUCCAAAAGUACAUUUUUACACUCUUGACCUCGGAUCAGGUAGGGAUACCCGCUGAACUUAAGCAUAUCA
rnacentral:rRNA from 1 species